rnacentral:tRNA from 1 species
GGAGAAGUAUCGAAGUGGUCAUAACGAGCACGACUGGAAAUCGUGUAGUCCGAAAGGGCUCGUGGGUUCGAAUCCCACCUUCUCCGCCA